rnacentral:rRNA from 1 species
AACGAACGCUGGCGGCAGGCCUAACACAUGCAAGUCGAACGCUGUAGCAAUACGGAGUGGCAGACGGGUGAGUAACGCGUGGGAACCUUCCCAGUGGUACGGAAUAACUCAGGGAAACUUGAGCUAAUACCGUAUACGCCCCUCGGGGGAAAGAUUUAUCGCCAUUGGAUGGGCCCGCGUCGGAUUAGCUAGUUGGUGAGGUAACGGCUCACCAAGGCGACGAUCCGUAGCUGGUCUGAGAGGAUGAUCAGCCACACUGGGACUGAGACACGGCCCAGACUCCUACGGGAGGCAGCAGUGGGGAAUAUUGGACAAUGGGCGCAAGCCUGAUCCAGCCAUGCCGCGUGAGUGACGAAGGCCUUAGGGUUGUAAAGCUCUUUUGGCGGGGAAGAUAAUGACGGUACCCGCAGAAUAGGCUCCGGCUAACUUCGUGCCAGCAGCCGCCGUAA